rnacentral:rRNA from 1 species
UACGUAGGGUGCGAGCGUUGUCCGGAUUUAUUGGGCGUAAAGCGCGCGCAGGUGGUUUCUUAAGUCUGAUGUGAAAGCCCACGGCUCAACCGUGGAGGGUCAUUGGAAACUGGGGAACUUGAGUGCAGAAGAGGAAAGUGGAAUUCCAAGUGUAGCGGUGAAAUGCGUAGAGAUUUGGAGGAACACCAGUGGCGAAGGCGACUUUCUGGUCUGUAACUGACACUGAGGCGCGAAAGCGUGGGGAGCGAACAGG